rnacentral:misc_RNA from 1 species
AAAGACAGAAGUCAGUUAAAGAAAGAAAUAGUGUAAAAUGGAAGGAAACACCCACACACACUAAGGUUGAACUCGCAGUCCCUUGUGACGAAAUAUAAAAUGUAAUUACUCUUAUAUGAGCGCAGUGGAGGCCACUGACACACCUAUAUAUAUGGAAAAUUCUGGCUGGCUUUUCCAAUCGUUUUCCACAAAAAUAGGAAAACGUCUCUUUUAUCGAAAUGUGUUAGCAAAAUUAGAAAAUUAGAAAAUCUUGUUUUCCAAUUUUCCAAAUUUAACAAAUCUGAGAAUAUCUUAUACUUCUUUAUUGGAAUAUUUAAUUAGAAAAAGGCAAUUGAAGAUUCCAGUUAUGAAUCUCACCUAUGAUUAUAUUACCAAAAUAACUUCUCGAACUCAAGAUAUUUCCCUCAUUUGGCCUUCAGCCAAAGUGACAUUUAACUUGAAUGUCAAUGUCAUACUCAUAGACGAUACCAUCAGAUUUCUACAGUUCAAACUUGCCAACAAUGAACUUACCACACUAGAUUUGUUAUCCAGACACACCACACAAUCCUUUGUUCUUCCUGCUCUAGGAGGGAAGGAAAGAGGAUUUUUUUCUGGGAAGGGGUGGGCGAGAGAAAAUGACAUUAUUCCCCAAGGGAUAAUGAUCAUGAUUGGAAGCUGAUGCCAAGCCAGGUUGGAUAGGGUGAGGUCUGGUUAUUGUAUAAUGUUCAAUUAAAUAUUUUGACAUAGCAGUUAUAUUAUUACAGCAGUCAUCCAUUUUAAACACUUUAAUAAAUUUCAGAAAUGGGUUGUGAUGAGUAAUACCUUUACAAAACCUUUUUGUGA